AUUGAACGCUGGCGGCAGGCCUAACACAUGCAAGUCGAACGGGAGCGGGGGGUAGCUUGCUACCCCGCCGGCGAGUGGCGGACGGGUGAGUAAUGCCUGGGGAGCUGCCCAAUCGAGGGGGAUACCAGUUGGAAACGACUGCUAAUACCGCAUACGCCCUGAGGGGGAAAGGUGGGGAUCUUCGGACCUGCCGCGAUUGGAUGCACCCAGGUGGGAUUAGCUAGUUGGUGAGGUAACGGCUCACCAAGGCGACGAUCUCUAGCUGGUCUGAGAGGAUGACCAGCCACACUGGAACUGAGACACGGUCCAGACUCCUACGGGAGGCAGCAGUGGGGAAUAUUGCACAAUGGGGGAAACCCUGAUGCAGCCAUGCCGCGUGUGUGAAGAAGGCCUUCGGGUUGUAAAGCACUUUCAGCGAGGAGGAAAGGUUGGCAGCUAAUACCUGUCAGCUGUGACGUUACUCGCAGAAGAAGCACCGGCUAACUCCGUGCCAGCAGCCGCCGUAA
rnacentral:rRNA from 1 species